rnacentral:rRNA from 1 species
UACGUAGGGUGCAAGCGUUGCCCGGAUUUACUGGGCGUAAAGGGCGCGUAGGCGGUCAGCACAAGUCAGUUGUGAAAUCUCCGGGCUUAACUCGGAAAGGUCAACUGAUACUGUGCGACUAGAGUGCGGAAGGGGCAACUGGAAUUCUCGGUGUAGCGGUGAAAUGCGUAGAUAUCGAGAGGAACACCUGCGGCGAAGGCGGGUUGCUGGGCCGACACUGACGCUGAUGCGCGAAAGCCAGGGGAGCGAACGGG